AACGAACGCUGGCGGCGCGCCUAAUACAUGCAAGUCGAGCGAGAAGGUGUAGCAAUACACUUGUAAAGCGGCGAACGGGUGAGGAAUACAUGGGUGACCUACCAUUGAGUGGGGAAUAACCAGCCGAAAGGCUGGCUAAUACCGCGUACGCUUCCGGAUUUUCGAGUUCGGAAGGAAAGCGAUACCGUGGGUAUCGCGCUCUUUGAUGGGCUCAUGUCCUAUCAGCUUGNGGUAGGGUAACGGCCUACCAAGGCUUUGACGGGUAGCUGGUCUGAGAGGACGAUCAGCCACACUGGCACUGCGACACGGGCCAGACUCCUACGGGAGGCAGCAGUAAGGAAUAUUGCGCAAUGGGCGAAAGCCUGAACGCAGCGACGCCGCGUGGGGGAGUGAAGGUCGUUCGGA
rnacentral:rRNA from 1 species